AAGAGAAAUAGGUUAGCCUGGCCAUGUGCCUCCUAUUGCAACUCAUCACACGUGAAGUGGGAAGAGGAAUAAGCUGGAGGAAAAGGAUGCAGUGCUGCAGAUGUAAAGAUGUAAAGAAUGUACAAUUGAUUCAGUAAAUUUAUUUUAAGAGUUGGUA
rnacentral:lncRNA from 1 species